UACGUAGGGGGCUAGCGUUAUCCGGAAUUACUGGGCGUAAAGGGUGCGUAGGUGGUUUCUUAAGUCAGAGGUGAAAGGCUACGGCUCAACCGUAGUAAGCCUUUGAAACUGGGAAACUUGAGUGCAGGAGAGGAGAGUGGAAUUCCUAGUGUAGCGGUGAAAUGCGUAGAUAUUAGGAGGAACACCAGUUGCGAAGGCGGCUCUCUGGACUGUAACUGACACUGAGGCACGAAAAGCGUUGGGGGAGCAAACAGG
rnacentral:rRNA from 1 species